ACAUGGAUUAAAUACUGGAAGCCCUCAUAUUUAACUAAACAUACCAAAACACCGAGAAAAACGAGAAAUGAGCUAAAAAACAACAGGAUCAAGAAUUCUUUCAUUGGUUUUAUCCGAAGAUUCAGUCAUCUAUUGCGUCGCUUUGUUAAGGGACGACUCAAAGGAGGCGAGGAGAAAGUACAGCAAGGUGGUGUGGGGAUUUGUCACCUCUGGACCAAAUGAGGCUCUUGUCAUAUCGAGUGUGAAGUGAGCGGCUUCCACUUCGCCAUCCCGUGAACGGCCCGCAGGAAUCUCUGCCAACACCUGCUUCAGCACUGCUGGCAUCUGGUCGUCAAAUAGCGGUGCCACGCCGGGCCUGACGUGCUCCGUUGCAAUCGGGGAGUCGAGUUUCACAAGGAAGACUGGCCGAGCAUCGCCGCCUUCAAGCCCCACAAGAGGUGUUCAGUAUCGUUGGUACAGAGCAGAGGGCCUGGUACAAGAGUUUUCAUUGCAGUCAAGGAAGUCAAGAAUUUUAAGCAGGAGUUUAGACUCAAACAGUUAACAGCAGGAAGAACGCCUGAAAUUCCCUUCAAGUUGCGGGGGGACAACGGGCAACCCUCAACACUUGCGGAGGCACAAGAGUUGUGGGCAGUUUCGCCAGGAAGAGUUUGUUCCGCACUCAAGUUGACACAAGGGCUCAAGAAUGAGCAAGAGUUCUCUAGUCUUGGAAGAAUGUAGCAAGUCCCUCUUCUGUACUCAACAACCACCACCACCACCACCAUUCAGGCUUGGGGUAAGCUUUGUACAUUCCAUUACUCCAGUAAUAAGGAAAAGAAGUGCCAUGUUUAUCCUGUUGUGUGUUUAUUAACUUGUCAUACACUAAAACAAUAAAAAUUCAAUAUACCGUC